UGGGGAAUAUUGCACAAUGGGCGCAAGCUUGAUGCAGCAACGCCGCGUGAACGAUGAAGGUCUUCGGAUCGUAAAGUUCUGUUGCAGGGGAAGAUAAUGACGGUACCCUGUGAGGAAGCCCCGGCUAACUACGUGCCAGCAGCCGCGGUAAUACGUAGGGGGCUAGCGUUAUCCGGAUUUACUGGGCGUAAAGGGUGCGUAGGUGGUCUUUCAAGUCGGUGGUUAAAGGCUACGGCUCAACCGUAGUUAGCCUCCGAAACUGGAAGACUUGGGUGCAGGAGAGGAAAGUGGAAUUCCCAGUGUAGCGGUGGAAUGCGUAGAUAUUGGGAGGAACACCAGUGGCGAAGGCGGCUUUCUGGACUGCAACUGACACUGAGGCACGAAAGCGUGGGUAGCAAACAGG
rnacentral:rRNA from 1 species